GGUUAGCCGGCCCCUAAGGCAAGGCCGAAAGGCGUAGUCGAUGGGAAACAGGUGAAUAUUCCUGUGCCAGAGGAUGUGUGACGGAUUGAGUAAGUUGUCCAACCUUAUUGGAUUAGUUGGGCCGCGAAUCAGUCCCUGGAAAUAGCCUCCUCAUAAGACCGUACCCUAAACCGACACAGGUGGACAGGUAGAGCAUACCAAGGCGCUUGAGAGAACUGCAUUGAAGGAACUCUGCAAAUUACUCCCGUAAGUUCGCGAGAAGGGAGCCCGCUUUGAAGGCAACUUUGAGGCGGGGGCACAAACCAGGUGGUAUCGACUGUUUACUAAAAACACAGG
rnacentral:rRNA from 1 species